rnacentral:rRNA from 1 species
UACGGAGGUCUCAAGCGUUGUUCGGAUUCAUUGGGCGUAAAGGGUGUGUAGGUGGCGCGCUAAGUCGGGUGUGAAAUUUCGGAGCUUAACUCCGAAACUGCAUUCGAUACUGGCGUGCUUGAGGACUGGAGAGGAGACUGGAAUUUACGGUGUAGCAGUGAAAUGCGUAGAUAUCGUAAGGAAGACCAGUGGCGAAGGCGGGUCUCUGGACAGUUACUGACGCUGAGGCGCGAAGGCCAGGGGAGCAAACGGG